UACGCAGCUGCAGGCAACGAAAGCUCCAGAGACGCUGCUGAGAAAACCUGACACAGGGCUUGCAUCCAUCUGGCCGCAGCCCUCCAGGGUCCUGCCUCAGCACUUCUUCUGGGCUGAUGUUGGCUAGCUCCCUGGACUUACUCAGCACACAUCACAGCUGCACAGCUCCCGAUGCUCGUGCAAAGGGAGGCACAUGCUCCUGACCAGCUAGAAGGUGCCACAGUCACUUAUAGGAAAUGGUGAUGCACAAGCACUUGCUUGGGGAAUUCAGGGAGACAGGCCUUGGUUUCCCAAGCAGCACAGCUUAAGGGUUAGACACAGAACAGUCUAUUUUGAGAGGAUCUGCAGUAAGACAGCAGCAAAAGAAGCCUUGUAAAUCCUUUCAGCAGGCAAGUUAAUUAACAAGAUAUGGCUACGGUCAGCAUGAAUUUACCUGCCUGCCUUCCUUGCUCACUCCACUUACUGCACUGGCCUGUACAAGGUCUCUUCACAGCAGAGCUUCAGGCAAAAGCUGAGCUAAGCUCUGUUAAGAAGAGUGAUGGCUCACAGUAUCUGGGACCUGAGUCAGCGAGCUGAAGGAGAAAACAGUCAGUGAUCCCAGUGAGGGCACACGGUUCUGUCCUGUCACAAAUACAAAUAAACAA